rnacentral:tRNA from 1 species
GAAGGUAUAGCUCAGUGGUAGAGCACAUGCUUAGCAUGCACAAGGUCCCGGGUUCAAUCCCCAGUACCUCCA